rnacentral:rRNA from 1 species
GUCGAGGGGCAGCGGUGGUGAAGGCUUGCCUUUACCAGCCGGCGACCGGCGCACGGGUGAGUAACACGUAUGCAACCUGCCUGCCACAGCCGGAUAAUCGGGAGAAAUUCCGUCUAAUACGGCAUAAUGCACCUAUGGGACAUCCUGUUGGUGCCAAAGGUUAAUUCCGGUGGCGGAUGGGCAUGCGUCGCAUUAGUUAGUUGGCGGUGUAACGGACCACCAAGACGACGAUGCGUAGGGGUUCUGAGAGGAAGGUCCCCCACACUGGUACUGAGACACGGACCAGACUCCUACGGGAGGCAGCAGUGAGGAAUAUUGGUCAAUGGGCGGGAGCCUGAACCAGCCAAGUCGCGUGAGGGAUGACGGCCCUAUGGGUUGUAAACCUCUUUUGCCGGGGAGCAAAGUGCCGCACGUGUGCGGUUUGGAGAGUACCCGGAGAAAAAGCAUCGGCUAACUCCGUGCCAGCAGCCGCGGUAAUACGGAGGAUGCGAGCGUUAUCCGGAUUUAUUGGGUUUAAAGGGUGCGUAGGCUGUGAGGUAAGUCAGCGGUGAAAUGCCCCCGCUCAACGGGGUGAAGUGCCAUUGAUACUGCCUUGCUGGAAUGCGGAUGCCGUGGGAGGAAUGUGUGGUGUAGCGGUGAAAUGCAUAGAUAUCACACAGAACACCGAUUGCGAAGGCAUCUCACGAAUCCGCGAUUGACGCUGAUGCACGAAAGCGUGGGUAUCAAACAGGAUUAGAUACCCUGGUAGUCCACGCUGUAAACGAUGAUGACUAACCGUCGGCGAUACACAGUCGGUGGCCAAGCGAAAGCGAUAAGUCAUCCACCUGGGGAGUACGGCCGCAAGGCUGAAACUCAAAGGAAUUGACGGGGGCC